rnacentral:rRNA from 1 species
CAGCGGAGGGAUCAUUACCGAGUUUACAACUCCCAAACCCAUUGUGAACUUAUACCCAAAACGUUGCCUCGGCGGACACAGCGGUACCCGAGCCCCCGCAAGGGAGCAAAGGCGCCCCGUCCGCCAGGGGACCAAAACUCUUCUGUAUACCCAUAGCGGCAUGUCUGAGUGGAUUUAAAAACAAAUGAAUCAAAACUUUCAACAACGGAUCUCUUGGUUCUGGCAUCGAUGAAGAACGCAGCGAAAUGCGAUACGUAAUGUGAAUUGCAGACUUCAGUGAAUCAUCGAAUCUUUGAACGCACAUUGCGCCCGCCAGUAUUCUGGCGGGCAUGCCUGUUCGAGCGUCAUUUCAACCCUCAAGCCCUGCUUGGUGUUGGGGACCGGCUCAGCGGGUGCGGGCUUCGGCCCGCCCCGUGCCGCCCCCGAAAUGGAUCGGCGGUCUCGUCGCAGCCUUCUUUGCGUAGUAACAUACCACCUCGCAACAGGAGCGCGGCGCGGCCACUGCCGUAAAACGCCCAACUUUUUAGAGUUGACCUCGAAUCAGGUAGGAAUACCCGCUGAACUUAAGCAUAUCAAU